ACUACUGUAAAAUUGCCAGACUCUCUCUGUUAUCAUUCAGAAUGUCAGGAAAAAGCAGAACUGAUCGCUGACCGUGUUUCAGCUGUUCAUGAGGAUGGUGUGAUUAAAGAUGAAGACGCACCAGCAUCAGAAGCCAAUGGCCUGACAUCAUUCAAAGGUAAAGUUCAAUUUAUUCUUAUUUUACUAUCAUUGAGAGGCUAUUAUUAUUAUUAUUAUUAUUAUUAUUUUUNNNNNNNNNNNNNNNNNNGUUUUAGUAAUUGUAUCUCUUGUGUGUGUGUGUGUGUGUGUGUGUGUGUGUGUGUGCCCAUAUAGUUUUCAUUCUUCUUUAUUUAAUUUUUAGUCAUGUAUUAGUGCAUAAAGUUAAACUAAAUAUUUAUAAAUAUUAAUAUUUAUUUAUUUAAUUUCAGUUAAAUUCAUUUUAUUUAAAUAAAGACAUUUUUUAAAAGUUUUAAUUAACUUUAAUGACCCUGGUUAAAUUUUGUCUUA
rnacentral:lncRNA from 12 species